CUCUCCUCACUCCUAAACUGGGGCUCUGGGGAGCAGUAUACCGUUGAAUCACUUUCCCCAUUCUGCCAACGUCUGUCUUCUGAUUGGAGCGUUUAAAUCGUUAUUGUUGGAGGCCUCGCGCUCACGGGGUUACCUGUCCUUACAGGCUUCGUUCCGAAGACUUAACCCCUGAAAGCACUAACGUGUCUCCGACCGAUGCCGGAGCCUGUCACUUACAGUCCUUGCCGCUUUCCCCGCAGCUGUCUACAGUAUUUGAAUUACUGUCUUCUUCUUCGCAUUUCUGGUUACUAGUCAACAACUGUUUAAUUUCUAUCCAAGGAUGAUUAAAUCGACGUACACUGAAACAAGAAAUGUGCACUCACAAUACUAAAGGAUGACCUGGUCCGUGAUACUUUGGUCGCUUCCUCUGCUUAUUGGUUCGACAAGCCUCCUAGGUCUGGUACGCUGCUCGCUCACACCUACUACUCAACCCUCGACGAUUUAGGUGUGGUUGUUCCUCUCUGGGCAGGAGCAGUAAUUGCCCGUUUUUGCCAUAAAUCUAAAGCGUGUGGAUGGUGGGAGAGAGAAACUGCCUUUUCCUCUGUGGGGCCAACCAUCUGGAGACAUUGGGACGAGACUUGUCUGCACAAAGAGAGAAUGACAUCAAACUACACCAAACAUUUGGAAAUUUCGGGGCGAGAGACUUGAGGACGUGAUUCGAAUCCUGAGGUCGCCUCCCCCUGAUGCGGGGCAGGUGCUGGGAACACAGCAUGCAACCGGCAAGAGGCCAUCUCUGCCCUCAGGAGGUCUUGGAGGAGCCUGGUGGGAGACACAGCUACAUAACCAGGAGACGGCAACUCCGGGUGAUGAGGACUUCAGGGGAAGCUGGAAGUUGGAGAGGCAGCUACCUCAUCAGGGGUGUGGGAGGCAGGGUGAGCUUCCUGGAGGAGGUGACUUGUGAUCUGCAACCUGUUGACUGAGGCAGAUAAAUUCCCGAGUUCAGCGGAAGAUGUUGUGUCCUGGACCAGCCUUUGGAAACAGUACCCAAAGGGCAUCUAUCAGUGGAGAGGUGGCUCAGCCCCACCUUCAUCUUAUCUUCCUGCUUUAGCUCCUGCUGUGUCACCCGUCUCGAACACAUUUUAUUGGUGUGGUGAACUGCAAUAUGUGCGUCGAGCCCAAGAUGCUGUGCUGCCAGAGGAAUCCAUCCUGUGCCCAGCCCGAGUUAACCCAACUCCCUUAAUAUCCCAGCCACGCACUCUGUGGAGGGUUGUGGUUGAGUUUAUUAAGAUCUUCCUUUGUCUAAACACGUUUUAUCCACCAGAUGAGCUGCUGCUUUAGGGCAGAGAAGGUGUCCUACACAUCUAUGUGUCUCCAGUACCCCUACAAGGCUUGAACAUGACAGGUGCACAACAAACUCUUUCGGAAUGAAUGGAUGAGUGUUGUGAAUAUUUUAAGAAGUGUUUAGGAAAGAGGACAUGGGAUCGUUUGACAGACUUAGCCCCUAUUAUACGCCAGACACUCAAAUGUCCUCAAACCGAAUCUCAGAGAUCCAGAGAUGCGAAGUAACUUGUCC
rnacentral:lncRNA from 1 species